rnacentral:rRNA from 1 species
UACGGAGGGUGCGAGCGUUGUUCGGAAUCACUGGGCGUAAAGGGCGCGUAGGCGGCAGGCCAAGCGUGCGGUGAAAGUCCGGGGCUCAACUCCAGAACUGCCUUCGAUACUGGCGAGCUCGAGUUCGGGAGAGGUGAGUGGAACUGCGAGUGUAGAGGUGAAAUUCGUAGAUAUUCGCAAGAACACCAGUGGCGAAGGCGGCUCACUGGCCCGAUACUGACGCUGAGGUGCGAAAGCGUGGGGAGCAAACAGG